GGGCUGCAGUAUUUUGACUGUACAAAGGUAGCAUAAUCAAUAGUCUCUUAAUUGGUGACUUGUAUGAAAGAUUGGAUGAAAUAUAAACUGUCUCUAAUUGAUUUAUAAAAAUUAAUUUUUUAGUAAAAAAGCUAAAAUAAUUUUAAAAGACGAGAAGACCCUAUAGAGUUUAAUAUUUUAUUUAAUAAUUAUUAAUAUAUAUAAUUUUAAAAAUUAAAAUUAAAUAAAUUAUUUUGUUGGGGUGAUAAAAAAAUUAAAUUAACUUUUUUUGAUUAUAAACAUUAAUUUAUGGUUAAGUGAUCCAUUUGUAGUGAUUAAAAGAAAAAAUUACCUUAGGGAUAACAGCGUAAUUUUUUUUUUUAGUUCAAAUAGGAAAAAAAGUUUGCGACCUCGAUGUUGGAUUAA
rnacentral:rRNA from 2 species